GCCAUGCCUCCCGUCAUGGCCAUGCUAGUCUGUGACAGGAAAAUCGUUUGCAAAACAAAGAUCUUUCAAAACAAAUAAACGCACCUUCAAGGGUAGGCCUACCUUACUGAGAAUACAAACUACAACAUCAAAUGUGCCAACCAGCUAAAGCAACCACGUGUCUGGACGGACUUACAUGCAUGAAAUGAGCUCUUCGCUGUGACACAUCAAGAUGAGAAGAGGAUAAAGAAAUGGAAGAGCAUGCGAUGAAGAUGAUGAAGGGUGACGAGAGCAACAAUACAAACAGACAGACAUUUUGAAGUUUUGCUGUUAUUCUGAUGAUAUGUCCUUGUUGUCCCCAAGCUUACUGAGCCUAAUUUGCAGUCAACUAUAAAGAAGACAUCAGUAGCUUGAUUCCCCUGAAGAGACUAUAGGAAGAUUGGUUAAACCAAUGGCAUUAAUAGCCACUUAAACAGGUAGUAAGUGUUUGAAAAACCUGAUUGAAAAUGUGUUUUCUCGCAACCUUUUGACAUCACGUAAUGUGAACAAAAUGGCGAAUGAAAAUUUCCGAAGUUUAUUGAAACAAUGAAAUUAGUACGGUUUAUAAUUUCACAUUAAUAUAGCCAAUCCCAGUGUUAAUCUAUUAUCCAAUACAUGUGUUUAUAGUCUGGGUAGUUCAUUUAAGAGAGUAGCAGAGCCAACACAACAACUAUAACAAUAACCAUACAGAUAUCAUUGGGAUCACUUUCAGAGCAAUUUUUCCCCAGCUGAAUGAUAAAACAUUCAUUUGAAUUUAAAGGGCUUGGACAUUUAAAAUGCGAAACCGCAGUGUGUGAGCUUAUAAUAAACUUAACCUUAUCGUCUGGUGUGGACGCUAAUACCACCGACUAGCAGUAGCAGAGCAACAUGAUCUCACACCCCAU